rnacentral:tRNA from 1 species
GCCUGGAUAGCUCAGUCGGUAGAGCAAAGGACUGAAAAUCCUUGUGUCGCUGGUUCGAUUCCAGCUCCAGGCA